GAUGAACGCUGGCGGCGUGCCUAAUACAUGCAAGUCGAGCGAACAGACGAUGAGCUUGCGCCUCUGACGUUAGCGGCGGACGUGUGAGUAACGCGUGGAUAACCUACCUAUAAGACGGGGAUAACUUCGGGACACCGGAGCUAAUACCGGAUAAUAUAUUGAACCGCGUGGGUGGAUGGUGAAAGACGGUGUUUCUGUCACGUAUAGAUGGAUCCGCGCCGCUUGAGCUAGUUGUGCAGGUAACGGCUUACCACGGCAACGAGGCGUAGACGACCUGAGAGGGUGAUCGGCGACCUUGGAGCUGAGACACGGACAAUGCGCCUACGGGAGGCAGCAGUCUGCAAUGUGCCGCAAUGGGCGAAAGCCUGACGGAGCAAGCCGGAGUGAGAGAUGGAAGUCUUGCGAUCGUAAAACUCUGUUAUUAGUGAUAAACAAAUUUGUAAGUAAACAUGCACGUAUUGACGGUACCUAAUCAGAAAGCCCCGGCUAACUACGUG
rnacentral:rRNA from 1 species